UACGAAGGGUGCAAGCGUUACUCGGAAUUACUGGGCGUAAAGCGUGCGUAGGUGGUUCGUUAAGUCUGCCGUGAAAGCCCCGGGCUCAACCUGGGAAUGGCGGUGGAUACUGGCGGACUAGAGUGCGGUAGAGGGUGGUGGAAUUCCCGGUGUAGCAGUGAAAUGCGUAGAGAUCGGGAGGAACAUCUGUGGCGAAGGCGGCCACCUGGACCAGCACUGACACUGAGGCACGAAAGCGUGGGGAGCAAACAGGAUUAGAUACCCUGGUAGUCCACGCCCUAAACGAUGCGAACUGGACGUUGGGAGCAACUAGGCUCUCAGUGUCGAAGCUAACGCGUUAAGUUCGCCGCCUGGGGAGUACGGUCGCAAGACUGAA
rnacentral:rRNA from 1 species